GUCUGUAGCCAAGUGGUAAGGCAUGGGUCUGCAAAACCUUGAUUCGCCGGUUCAAAUCCGGCCAGGC
rnacentral:tRNA from 1 species